rnacentral:rRNA from 1 species
UACGUAGGGAGCAAGCGUUGUCCGGAAUCAUUGGGCGUAAAGCGCGCGUAGGCGGCCCGAUAAGUCCGCUGUGAAAGUCAACGGCUCAACUGUUGGAUGCCGGUGGAUACUGUCGGGCUAGAGUACGGAAGAGGCAAGUGGAAUUCCUGGUGUAGCGGUGGAAUGCGCAGAUAUCAGGAGGAACACCUAUAGCGAAGGCAGCUUGCUGGGACGUUACUGACGCUAAGGCGCGAAAGCGUGGGAGCGAACGAGGA